AUUGAACGCUGGCGGCAGGCCUAACACAUGCAAGUCGAACGAGUGGCGGACGGGUGAGUAAUGUCUGGGAAACUGCCUGAUGGAGGGGGAUAACUACUGGAAACGGUAGCUAAUACCGCAUACCAUCGGAUGUGCCCAGAUGGGAUUAGCUAGUUGGUGGGGUAACGGCUCACCAAGGCGACGAUCCCUAGCUGGUCGGAGAGGAUUACCAGCCACACUGGAACUGAGACACGGUCCAGACUCCGACGGGAGGCAGCAGUGGGGAUUAUUGCACAAUGGGCGAAAGCCGGAUGCAGCCAUGCCGCGGGUAGGAGGAAGGCCUUCGGUGUGUAAAGUACUUUCAGCGGGGAGGCGUUACCCGCAGAAGAAGCACCGGCUAACUCCGUGCCAGCAGCCGCGGUAAUUC
rnacentral:rRNA from 1 species